rnacentral:rRNA from 1 species
GACGGGUGAGUAACGCAUAGGAAUCUGCCCGGUAGUGGGGGAUAACCUGGGGAAACCCAGGCUAAUACCGCAUACGUCCUACGGGAGAAAGCAGGGGAUCUUCGGACCUUGCGCUAUCGGAUGAGCCUAUGUCGGAUUAGCUGGUUGGUGAGGUAAUGGCUCACCAAGGCGACGAUCCGUAGCUGGUCUGAGAGGAUGAUCAGCCACAUCGGGACUGAGACACGGCCCGAACUCCUACGGGAGGCAGCAGUGGGGAAUAUUGGACAAUGGGCGCAAGCCUGAUCCAGCCAUGCCGCGUGUGUGAAGAAGGCCCUCGGGUUGUAAAGCACUUUCAGUGGGGAAGAAAUCCUCGGGGCUAAUACCCUCGAGGGAGGACAUCACCCACAGAAGAAGCACCGGCUAACUCCGUGCCAGCAGCCGCGGUAAUACGGAGGGUGCGAGCGUUAAUCGGAAUUACUGGGCGUAAAGCGCGCGUAGGCGGCCUGAUAAGCCGGUUGUGAAAGCCCCGGGCUCAACCUGGGAACGGCAUCCGGAACUGUCAGGCUAGAGUGCAGGAGAGGAAGGUAGAUUCCCGGUGUACCGGUGAAAU